rnacentral:rRNA from 1 species
UACAGAGGGUGCAAGCGUUGUUCGGAAUUAUUGGGCGUAAAGCGCGUGUAGGCGGUUUCGCAAGUCGGGGUGUGAAAAGCCCUCAGCUCAACUGAGGAAGUGCGCCCCGAAAACUGCGGAGCUUGAGUACCGGAGAGGAUGGCGGAAUUCCCCCAAGUAGAGGUGAAAUUCGUAGAUAUGGGGGAGGAACACCGGUGGCGAAGGCGGCCAUCUGGACGGAUACUGACGCUGAGACGCGAAAGCGUGGGUAGCAAACAGG